UACGUAGGGGGCAAGCGUUGUCCGGAAUCAUUGGGCGUAAAGAGCGUGUAGGCGGCCCGAUAAGUCCGCCGUGAAAGUCCAGGGCUCAACCCUGGAAUGCCGGUGGAAACUGUCGGGCUGGAGUCCGGAAGAGGCGAGUGGAAUUCCUGGUGGUAGCGGUGAAAUGCGCAGAUAUCAGGAGGAACACCAAUGGCGAAGGCAGCUCGCUGGGACGGUACUGACGCUGAGACGCGAAAGCGUGGGGGAGCAAACAGG
rnacentral:rRNA from 1 species